rnacentral:misc_RNA from 1 species
GAUGAAGAACGUAGCGAAAUGCGAUACUUGGUGUGAAUUGCAGAAUCCCGUGAACCAUCGAGUCUUUGAACGCAAGUUGCGCCUCAAGCCAUUAGGUUGAGGGCACGUCUGCCUGGGCGUCACAUAUCGUUGCCUGAUGCCAGUUUCCUCGUGAUGGGUGACUGUGCAGGGCGAAUGAUGGCUUCCCGUGAGCAUUGUUGCCUCAUGGUUGGUUGAAAAUUGAGUCCUUGGUAGGGAGCGCCGUGAUAGAUGGUGGUUGAGUGACGAACGAGACCCAAUCAUGUGAGACCCCUACCGAAUUUGGCCUUCGUGACCCACAUGCGUCUUUGGGACGCUCAUGACGAGACCUCAGGUCAGGCGGGGCUACCCGCUGAGUUUAAGCAUAUCAAUAAGCGGAGGA